GAAAUGCGAUAAGUAAUGUGAAUUGCAGAAUUCAGUGAAUCAUCGAAUCUUUGAACGCACAUUGCGCCCGGGAGCAUUCUCCCGGGCAUGCCUGUUCGAGCGUCAUUUCAACCCUCGACCUCCCCUUGGGGAGGCCGGCCGUUGGAGAUCGGCAGCGAUUGCCGACUCCCAAAUUCAGUGGCGACCCGCCGCGGGGACCCCUGCGCAGUAACAUACACUCGCACCGGAAACCAGACGUGUCACGCCGUAAAACCCCAACUUUCUGAACGUUGACCUCGGAUCAGGUAGGAAUACCCGCUGAACUUAAGC
rnacentral:misc_RNA from 1 species